GCUGUGACCCUGGUGGAGUCGGGGUGACCUCAAGGCUCCGGGGGAGUCCCUGCGGCUCCUCUGCCGCGCCUCCGGCUUCACCGUCAGCAGCUACUCCAUGCAGUGGGUUCGCCAGAGCCCCGGGAAGGGGCUGGAAUGGGUCGCUGGGUUCGACGCUGGUGGCAGCCCCUACUACGCGCCGUCGGUGCAGGGCCGGUUCACGAUCUCCCGGGACAACGGGCAGGGCACGUUGAUGCUGCAGAUGAACAACCUCAAGGAGGAGGAUUCCGCCACCUAUUUCUGUGGCAAAAGUGUUAACGGUGAUGCUGUUAUGGGUGAUG